rnacentral:lncRNA from 1 species
UUGGGAAGAAAGAAGAAAGGAGGAGGGCCAAAGUAAAAAAAAAAGACAGAACAGAGGAGGGGAUCAAAAAUCCCUAGCGCAGCCGAUCCCCAUCGGGCCUGGCUCAUCUCUCUCUCUCCCUCACCCAUCCUUCUCCACCUCCGGCCGCCGCCACGGCCAGGCCGGCAUGGUGGUGCGCCUCCCACCUCAUCACCCAUCUCCAUCCACCACUCCACCAUCACCUCCAUCCAUCAGCGCUGUGCCACCCAGCACCUCCACCACGCACCACCAGCACCACUCCACAUCCACCUCACGCAACUCACCAGACAGAGGGCCGGCGGUGUCUGAUCCAUCGCGCGCCGAUGCUGGUGCCUCCUUCUUCAACCUGCUGCUUCUUCUUCCUCACCUCCGCUGCUGCUGUCCCUGCUCUUCUUGCGCUCAUGUUGCUGCUCCUCUGAACCCCUCGUACUUCUGCUCCUAAUCUUCUCCAACUUGCUGCUGCUCUGCUUACUCUAUCUCCUUGCACCGCUGCUGCUGCUUCUCCCGCGCGCCCCAACCUGCUGCUGCUCUUCCCCCACGAAUCUGCUACAACUCCACUCUCCAGCGCCUCCUUUGCUGAUUCUUUGCUCUGAACCUCAAGUUGCUACUGCUUCUUCUUCUCACGUCACGGCUGCUGCUCUUCUUUUCUUUCCCCUACUGUUGCUCCUUCUCUGAACCUCACGCGCUGCUCCAUCUCCUAAACGCUGCUGCUUCUUCCUUGGCCUCCUGCUCUGCUCCUAAUCUGAACCAUAAAUUGCUGCUACUCCCCUUCAUUCUCUAAAUUUCUGUAGACUUGAGAUCAUAUGUAAUAUUCAUAUUUGGCUAGUGCUUGAAACUUGCUAUUGGUUCAGAUUUGUAACUGUAUAAUAAUGCUAUGACAUGUUCAGUUUCAGACUGGUGAUUGUUUAGUACUGUAGUACUGUUUUUGUUCAUCGGAGAGUAUUAGAACAGUGCCCUAUAAUACCAUAUUCAUAUUUGUGUGUGUGUGUGUGUGUGUGUGAAAUAUAUUAAUUAUGUACUGCACUUGCUACUGAUUAGUGUCCACUUUACUGUAGACUGUUGCUCAAGUUCCUAUGAUAUAUAUCAUGUUUGACAGUUUAGUCCUCUAGUUAUUGUUGCACUGAUUUAUGUCAAGAAGAUUUGGCUAGUGUGAUGUGAGUCCAGUACAUGUGCUUUAUAAUCCUGUUUGUAACCGGUGUUCAUUUUGUAGUCCCAGUGAUAUAUCUUGUACCUUGUGCUAGCUAUGAACCUGUGAUAUAUAUAUGUGUGUGUUAUGUUCAUGUCCUUUUACUUCUCUUGUCAUUGAUGAUAGCUUUUGUUAGUAUCUUAAUUUCUCAAGCAUUACGAAAAUACCAAAAAGAUUGUUGAAGAUAAUUUGAACCUUCCUUGCUACUGUGUUAUUUUCUUUAUUGUCAACUUUGGUUAGUUUAGGUCUAUAUUUCCUUGCAAUCAUCAUCUAAAUUCUAUUACCUAGCUUUAGCCGAGUAUAGUUGACGUCGCCUAGUCCCUGAGGAGAACACAACACUCACAGUUUGGGCGUAAAAACCCCACUGCACCUACUAUGAUCAUUUUGGCGCCGUUGCCGGGGAGUAGCGUCGAGAGAUUUUGUUAGGCCAUAGACUAGGUUUUUCUUGUUUUUCCCUUUGUGCUAUAUAUUUGUGAUAUAUCUCUAGCCACUAACACCUGUUUUAGUUAGUAUCUUUUUGUCUUCUUUUCCUUUUUGCAGUUGGAUUAUCCUCUCGGUUAUGGCUUACUAUUCAGAUCAUCAGGCUUACGCGAGCAACACUACAAACAGCACGGAAAGUGUUCAAGAACUGAUAGGUAAGAUUUCCCAUCGAUUAGAUGAUUUAGCUCGGCAGCGAGAAGGAGUUUUUGAGGAUAGGCCUAGUUCGUACGAUCCUUAUUCCAGAGGCCAUCCUUAUGUUGCUCCUACUUGCCAUAUUUGUGGAUUUCAGGGCCAUUCGCCCGCUGAAUGUCAGCGUGGCUACUCUCACACUCCGGAUUGUUUUGGCAUGAGCUUCACUCAAGAGCAUAGCUCAUACCAAAACAAUUACUCACAUGGGUGGCCUGAAAUCCCGAAUAUGUCAUAUAGGAGCAACAACACUGAGAUCUCACAGUUUGGUUCUAGUAAUCAUAUGCAGGGAUUCAAGUACAAUGAGGAGAACCACAACUAUGCUCCACAACAGAUUUAUUCACCUCCUACUCAUAUACCUCAAUACCAGGAGAUGUGUCCAAUGGAGUUAAAUGGUCCUCCAUUUCGUCAACCAACAACUCCAGCACCUUUCGAGCAAAGAUGAGUUUGAUGACAUAGACAAGCUCACACUUUUGAGUCUCGAGUUCACUUGGAGUGCCGAGGAUGAUCCUAUUAGGAAGGUUAUACUAGAGGAAAUGAAGAAGAUUAAGAGUGGAAAGGAGCUAGUGGAAGAAGUAAGGAAGAUUGAGAAGAACAUCAAUGCUGGCAGCACUAUUUCUUCACAACUUGAGUUGAGUGUGGCUGAGAUAUCCAUGGAUACAUGUGAGGUUCCAACACCUUCACAUUUCGUUGAGCAAGUUAGCAAGUGCCUUGAGCAAGAGAUACCUCAGAUUGAAGAAGAUGAACUAGAAGACAAGGAACAAGAUGGUCAAGAGCUGCAAUUCCCAAGUGAUCAAGUUGAAGACUCAUCAUCUAUUACUCCUGAAGAAGUACAAGAAGCUGCUGUAGAUGAAGAUGAAGAACAUGAGAUUCAUUUGCCUAUUGUCAUACCAGAGUGUGAUGUGUCAGGUUUACUCAAUCCUCUUGAUGACAUGAUGCCUUGUGAUUUCUUUGCUACCACCUUGCAUUACAUGAUACCAUCACUUAAGAUUGAUUUGAAAACUCAUUUGCUUGGAUAUGAUGAUAUAUACCGUGUUAGUGGAAUUGCUCUCAUUUGUGAUGAUCACAAUUACUUUCCUCAUGCUAGUCUUGAGCUUAAUGAUAAAUGUCAUCCUCGUGUGAGUAUUGACCAUGCUGAUUUCUGCCAUCCUAAACAUGUGCUUUAUAGUUAUGCUUAUAUAAUUGGAUAUUCCAUUGAUGACUUGGAGGGCAUCGACCGUAUCACUUGUAGUUGUUUGUGUGAGUCCUAUUUCAGGCUUUUGCUACUACACUGUUUACUACAUGCUGACCAGGUUCGAGGUGACAUUCCUUGGGAUCCUGGUGGAGUCAGAGCAUGGCGAUGAGGGGAGCACAAACAGGGAACACAAACAGAGAAGAGUGGAGAGAAGAAAGUAGGAGAGAAGAGUAUACAAAUACCAGGUGAUUCUGUUCCACUUGAAGCAACCUUUAGAAAAUUUAGUACGAGAACUGGCAUUUUAUUGCAUUGAAACACUUUUUGCAUUGUGACACCUUACUCUUCACUGCAAAGUAGGAUUCACUCCAAGAAGAUUGUUGAUUCUCUUAAUACUAAAACUAUGCAGCUGUAUUCUUCUUAUGGUAAUUUGUGAUAAUGAAUACUUUAUACCUCCAUGUAAAUGUUCAAUGGGAAUGCGUUGAGUCUAAGUGAAACCUACUAAUGAAUUGAUGUGCUGUGUCUGACUGUCCGAAGUUAAGCUAAGUAACUGGUGGCACUUAAGUAGUAGCUAUGAUCUCUGGAUCUGUAGUAUGUGAAAAACAGUGCCAUUAGCUAUGGAUUCCUCUUUCAAUUAUUCCUAUUUUACUUAAGCUAAGUAAUUUUCAAAUAACUAUAUAAAAUAAUUAUAAUAAUUUAAGUCCGAUCGACCUAUAGUAGCAUGUCAUGUUCCCUGGAUCGGUGGCUUGUGAAAUCUGGUAGAUUGGACUGUAAAAAAAUUUAUAUAAAAAAUGCUAUAAUUUGUCGAACCAGGUGUAUACCAUGUUCUCGGGAUCGGUGGUAUGUUCCUUAGGGGAGAUAAUAACAAAAAAAUAUGCUAAUAAUUUGUCGAACCAGGUGUAUACCAUGUUCUCGGGAUCAGUCGUAUGUUCCUUUGGGGAGAUAACAAAAAAAAUAUACUAAUAAUUUGGUCGAGCCAGGUGUAUACCAUGUUCUCGGGAUCGGUGGUAUGUUCCUUUGGUGAGACUGAUAUAAUAUCAUCACUUGUGCUUUAAAUUCAAUAAGUAACUUGUUUUUCUAAUUGAUUUUGGGGUCCCAGCUUAUCUCAGGGCUGAAGACAGAGCCAGCUCUUGAUUAUUAGUAUUCACUUUGACUCAAGGCCAUUGACUUGGAACAUUUACAGUGUGUUAUAAAAUAUUUCUUAUCACAAUUUAGCUUUAGUAGAGUACAUUUGCUUAGUUCCAGUAUUGUCGGAAUUACUAUCUAUCGGAAAGUGCAUCUUUACUAGGCAGUGUGAGUUGUGUCACCAUCAAUUUUUUUUCCUUUGCUUGAGGACAAGCAAAGAUUUAAGUGUGGGGGAACUUGAUAAGCACAUUUCUUAUAUACUAUUUGGGCACACAAAUUCACCUUUUAUUGAGAUAUAUCCAUCCAUUCUUGCUAUGACUUGUUGAAUAUUCGAAUGAUAAUCAUAAAAGAGAAUGUUGACUAGUGAAUUGUUUAUUUUGCAGAAGAGUGCGCAAAGGCACUAUAAUCGUCAAGACUUCUACUAUGUGGCUAACGAGAAGAGAGAAGGGCAUGAAAGAAAUACGUCAAGGCUUGAGCGUGAAGGAAAGAAGUAAUGUAGGGGAGCAAACUAAAAGAAGAGGAGGAUCUUCUUGGGAAGAGAGAAGAAAGGAGGAGGGCCAAAGUAAAAAAAAGACACAACAGAGGAGGGGAUCAAAAAUCCCUAGCGCAGCCGAUCCCCAUCGGGCCUGGCUCAUCUCUCUCUCUCCCUCACCCCUCCUUCUCCACCUCCGGCCGCCACCACGGCCAGGCCGGCGUGUUGGUGCGCCUCCCACCUCAUCACCCAUCUCCAUCCACCACUCCACCAUCACCUCCAUCCAUCAGCGCCGUGCCACCCAGCACCUCCACCAUGCACCACCAGCACCACUCCAGAUCCACCUCACGCAACUCACCAGACAGAGGGUCGGCGGUGUCUGAUCCAUCGCGCGCCCGAUGCUGGUGCCUCCUUCUUCAACCUGCUGCUUCUUCUUCCUCACCUCCGCUGCUGUUGCUCCUGCUCUUCUUGCGCUCAUGUUGCUGCUCCUCUGAACCCCUCGUACUGCUGCUCCUAAUCUUCUCCAACUUGCUGCUGCUCUGCUUACUCUAUCUCCUUGCACCGCUGCUGCUGCUUCUCCCGCGCGCCCCAACCUGCUGCUGCUCUUCCCCCACGAAUCUGCUACAGCUCCACUCUCUAGGGCCUCCUUUGCUGAUUCUUUGCUCUGAACCUCAAGUUGCUACUGCUUCUUCUUCUCACGUCACUGCUACUGCUCUUCUUUUCUUUCCCCUACUGUUGCUCCUUCUCUGAACCUCACGAUGCUGCUCCAUCUCCUAAACGCUGCUGCUUCUUCCUUGGCCUCCUGCUCUGCUCCUAAUCUGAACCAUAAAUUGCUGCUACUCCCCUUCAUUCUCUAAAUUUCUGUAGACUUGAGAUCAUAUGUAAUAUUCAUAUUUGGCUAGUGCUUGAAACUUGCUAUUGGUUCAGAUUUGUAACUGUAUAAUAAUGCUAUGACAUGUUCAGUUUUAGACUGGUGAUUGUUUAGUACUGUAGUACUGUUUUUGUUCAUCGGAGAGUAUUAGAACAGUGCCCUGUAAUACCAUGUUCUUAUUUGUGUGUGUGUGUGUGUGUGAAAUAUAUUAAUUAUGUACUGCACUUGCUACUGAUUAGUGUCCAGUUUACUGUAGACUGUUGCUCAAGUUCCUGUGAUAUAUAUCAUGUUUGACAGUUUAGUCUUCUAGUUAUUGUUGCACUGAUUUAUGUCAAGAAGAUUUGGCUAGUGUGAUGUGAGUCCAGUACAUGUGCUUUAUAAUCCUGUUUGUAACCGGUGUUCAUUUUGUAGUCCCAGUGAUAUAUCUUGUACCUUGUGCUAGCUAUGAACCUGUGAUAUAUAUGUGUGUGUUAUGUUCAUGUCCUUUUACUUCUCUUGUCAUUGAUGAUAGCUUUUGUUAGUAUCUUAAUUUCUCAAGCAUUACGAAAAUACCAAAAAGAUUGUUGAAGAUAAUUUGAACCUUCCUUGCUAUUGUGUUAUUUUCUUUAUUGUCAACUUUGGUUAGUUUAGGUCUAUAUUUCCUUGCAAUCAUCAUCUAAAUUCUAUUACCUAGCUUUACCCGAGUAUAGUUGCUGUCGCCUAUUCCCUGAGGAGAAUACGACACUCACAGUUUGGGCGUAAAAACCCCACUGUACCUACUAUGAUCAAGCAUAUUGAAGUUCGUCAUCAUUUCAUUCGAGAUCAUGUUGCUAAGGGUAACAUUGAUCUUAAGCAUGUUCGCACCGAAAAGCAAUUAGCGGAUAUAUUCACUAAACCUCUUGAUGAGAAAGUGUUUUGCAGGUUGAGAGGAGAAUUGAACAUCAUAGAUGCUUCAAACUUGGAGUAGAAACUUCAUUGGAUACAUGCAAGACAUGAGCUUAUGACUAAUCCUUGAUAUUUCUCUUAUGAUGAAAAUCUUAUGUCUUGGAUAUAUUUGCAUCUUGCAUGUUAUCUAACUAUCGGAGUAAUGGGCCAUGGGUAGGCUAACCCGAGCCCCAGAACCUUUCAAGACAUUGGGAUCAGUAGUAUCGCUUAUGCCGAGUCCCAGGGACGACUCCAAGUUAUGCCGAGUCCCAGGGGCGACUCCAAGAUAUGCUGAGUCCCAGGGACGACUCCAAGUUAUGCCGAGUCCCAGAGACGACUCCAAGAUAAGCCGAGUCCCAGACGGCGACUCCAAGAUAAGCCGAAUCAUGGCCGGCGACUUCCAGAGAGGCUGGCUAUGGAGAGUCGGCCCGCGACUCCAUCCUCGUCUCGAAGGGCGAGGCGGGGUACGGCCACGGCAUGGCCAUCCCCCCUGCUUACAAGGGUCCGGCAUGGCUACAGUGAGCCGUAUCGCUGAAGAUCUCCGGUGAGGCACGACACUGUUGCCAUGCCUGCCCUGACCUCAGCCACAGUGGGAGGCGCACUGUGCCCACGACGCCUGCCUAUACGACCCAAGGACGGCGGGGCCGCCUGUUAGUGGGUUGACAGAAGACGGCACGAGCGCCCUGAAGACGGACCCGUGGGAGUCGCCCCCCUGGAGUCGGCCGACCCCUCCCAUGGGCCCCGCACGCCAUUAAAUAGACAAGAUGGGGAAUGGCGACGGUGAAGGCACACCGGACGGCGGCGUUGUUGCCAUAACCACAUGACCGAGCCAGCGUCAUCAGGAGUGCCGCUAUAGUAUCAGGCCUGCCCGCGGGACCCGCCAGUCGGCGGGCCCCAGUAGUCGACAGAAAGGACGACGGCCUGAGAGACAGAUAGCUGGGACCCGCGCCCAGCCAGAUUACCAUUGUACCCCCGGGGGGUAGGCCUAUAUAAACCCCCCGGGAAGCCCAUGCAAAGGGUUCGGACCUAGACAGAGAUAGACCUUAGAGCAUAGGAAGGAGAGAGCUGGCCUUGCCCUCUCCUACCUCCAGAUACAGCUCCAGGAGCACCAUUGUAGCCACUUUGCCAUAGUGACCAUGCAGAGACCCCGCAGAGCAGCAGUAGGGGUGUUAUCUCCUCGGAGAGCCCUCAAGCUGGAUAAGUUUCGCCGGCGUGCAUGUCUUCGCCUCAUUCCGCUUCCGGGCACCAGCGACGUUCUACUCGCUCCCACCAUGAUAAGCCAUCCUUUGGCAUAUGUUGUACCCAACCCCCGACAUUUGGCGCCCACCGUGGGGCGAGGUGCACCGUCGUCCGAAGACCUGCUCUGGACGGGAACCCUUUUCCUCCCUGGCGAGCGCAGCCAGCCCGGCACGCCAGAUGGAGCCUGCGCCAAUGCGCUGCACGGCACUGAGAUCGCCUGAGCGGCCAGCUGCCUCGCCGAGAUUAUCGGCGAGGUUCGCCUCUCCGACGAGCUUGUGUCCGACGCAGGCACGAGCGGCCCUGAGAGCCUCCUCGCGGGUCUUCUCGACCAACUCCACGUCGCCGGCGAGCCUGCCAUGGACCUGGAGUCCAUAGGAUCCACCGACCCAAUGCUGGUCGACUCUGACACCGCGUCGCUCGACGCGUUUCCCACCAACGUGGUGGUAUACGACGAGCCGCUCCCUUGCGCGGGGAGCGGCGGAAGCACCGUCACGGAGGUUCUCGUCCUUGAUCACGGCGAGCGUUCCGAUGAGGGAGCGCACGACCCGCUCGACGCGGCUCUGCGAGACCUCACUGCGCCGAUUCUGGGAGACGCUGACGCCGAGACGCUGGAGGCACGCCGUCUUCAGCUUAUCGAGGGUGCGAAGAAGUUAGCAAGCAUGAGGCGCUUGUCAGAAGCCUACCAGCGCAAGAUGGAUCGCGCCGUGGGCGGCUCGCCGGCUCCGACUGAGCCUAGCCGCCUAGGCGCGGUCCGACAACGCGGCGUGGCAAUCGCCAAUCUGUUCGGAGCCGAUCGCCCCGUGUAUGCCACGCCCGCGGAGAACAUCAGCGCCGCCCAGGCGGCAGCAGAAGAGCUCGACAACUUCGAGGGCGAAGAGCGCCGCGUGAUGACGGAGCGAUUUCAACAUCUCCUCGACGCGGCUGCCGUGCAGAACGAAGCCGGCUGCCGCACGGAGGCGCCGCAGCGACCAAACGACGAACCGCCACCCCGCCGAGACCAAGGCGCAACGUCUCGGACACCGACUGGCGGGGCCCGCGGAAAGAAGGACAAGGAGCCGGCUGUCAGCCACAGUCGGACUCGCAUCACCAUCGAGCGCGACCAAGACGGCCGCCCCAAAGCGAUGGAACGGCGGGACGACUAUCUGCCUCCCCCUCCUCGCAGAGAAAGGCGAGUCUCCCCGCCGCCCGUGGAACAUCCGACUCUCGGCGACCGUCUUGGCCGCGGAGAGGGAGUCGGAGAGAAUGAUGCCCGCCACCGGAUCGACCGAGUCCACCGAUCCUUGGCGCUAGAAGAAGAAGACAGGUUGGGUCCUCCCUGUUUUGGACCCCGCAUCCGAGAUGAGCCCUUCCCCAAAGGGUUCACGCUCCCCCGAGACACGCCCAAAUACACCGGCACCGUGAAGCCGGAGGACUGGCUGAUCGAUUACUCCACAGUCGUCAAUAUAGCGAAUGUCAACAAGCGUGUUGCCGUAAGAUAUGUCCCGCUCAUGCUCUAGGGCUCGGCCCGAACAUGGUUGAACAGUCUAAAGCCUCGUAGCAUCAAUAGCUGGGUCGACUUCACCGAGGCUUCGUCCGCAACUUCACAAGCACGUACAAGUGACCUCCCAAGCCUCGCCAACUAUCCUUGUGCGUGCAAGGCCCCAACGAAUCUACUCGCGACUACCUCGCGCGCUGGGGCGAGCUCCGGAACUCCUGCGAGGGCGUGCACGAGGUGCAGGCUAUCGAGUACUUUACUACCGGGUGCAGAGAAGGCACCCUCCUCAAGCACAAGCUUCUCUGUGACGAGCCGGAGACCCUCGAUGAACUGUUGAUCACAACAGACAAGUACGCCACGGCCGACUCCUCCACGAAGGCGGAGAUUCAAGUCAGCGCGACUGGCAAAGUCGCCCCUCAGGCUCCAAGAACUCCGGCUGGGGACACCAGCCGACAGCAACAGCAGAACGACCACAAGCGCAAGGCCCCACAGCCGGCAAGUGGCGACAGUCGAAGACCAACAGCCGGAGGGACCGCCUCCGGUGAAGCGGCAGAAGGGCGGCAAGUCCAACUGGUUGCCGGCCUUCUCCUACGAGCAGACCCUGGAUGGCCCCUGCAAGUUCCACAACGGCGCGAAGCCGUCAAACCACACCACCCGGAAAUGCCACUGGCUGACCAGAAUCGCCAAGGGAGACGGCCUACUCCCUCCCCCGCCUGCUGGGCCGCCUGCACCGUAGCCGCCCCAACAGCCGGCUGUCAGGCCAGUCGGCGCGAUAGAAGACGAGUUCCCAGAUGAGCACGGAGCCUUUGUGGUGUUCACCAGUGUGGCGGACGAUCGACGUAGCAGGCGCCAACAGCGGCAAGAAGUGAAUGCAGUCGCAUCAAGCACUUCAGAAUUCAUGCACUGGUCCGAAAGGCCCAUCAGUUGGAGCAGAGCCGAUCACCCAGAGGUGAUGCCGAGUCCAGGCUCCUACGCCUUGGUCUUAGGCGCCACACUCGCCACAGAUAGACGGGCCGCUCUCUUCUCGCGAGUGCUGAUAGACGGAGGUAGCAGUAUCAACAUCCUGUAUAAGGAUACGAUGGAAAGGUUAGGAAUCAAGCGAAGACAGUUUCAGAGCAGCCGGACUGUGUUCCACGACAUUGUUCCUGGCCUUUCCUGCUCACCAAUCGGCAAGAUCCUGAUAGACGUCCUCUUUAGGGACAAAGAUCAUGUCCGCCGAGAGCCGAUUUGGUUUGAAGUGGUGGACCUUGAAAGCCCGUACCAUGCGUUGCUUGGCCGACCAGCUUUGGCCAAGUUCAUGGCAGUCCCCCACUACGCCUACCUCAAGAUGAAGAUGCCGAGUUCCAAGGGAAUUCUGACCAUGGCCGACGACUACAGAAAGUCGUCCGCUUGCGCGGCCGAAAGCAGUCGGCUGGCCGAGUCCUUGGUGAUCGCGGCUGAGAAGCGGCUUCUUGAUCGGGUUGUGGCGAUGGCCGGCAAGCAGCCCGAAAUGUCGCCCGACCCCAAGGAGUCGGAAGCAGAAGGAUCAUUCAAGCCGGCCAGAGAAACGAAGAAGAUACCUUUGGACCCGGAGCACCCGGAGAGGUACGCUGUCAUGGGCACAAACCUUGACAGCAAAUAGGAAGGCGAGCUCGUCGAUUUCCUCCGUGAGAAUCGAGACAUCUUCGCAUGGUCCCCUAAAGACAUGCCUGGUGUACCGACGGAAUUCGCCGAGCACAAAUUACAUGUCCGAUCUGAUGUGAAGCCCGUCAGGCCGCCCUUGCGCCGCCUGUUAGAAGAAAAGAGAAGAGUUGUUGGAGAAGAAAUAGCCUGGCUCCUGGUAGCCGGUUUCAUCAUGGAAGUGUUUUUCCCAGAGUGGCUAGCAAACCCAGUACUGGUGCUGAAGAAGAACAAGCAGUGGCGGAUGUGUAUCGACUACACAAGUCUCAAUAAAGCCUGCCCCAAGGACCCAUUUGCUCUGCCAAGAAUUGAUCAGGUGAUACACUCCACAGCCGGAUGCGAGCUGUUGAGUUUUUUGGAUGCAUAUUCUGGAUAUCACCAGAUCAAGCCGAACCCGACUGACCGACUGAAGACCGCCUUCAUCAUGCCGUUUGGUGCCUUCUGCUACCUGACCAUGACGUUCGGCCUCAGGAAUGCUGGCGCCACCUUUCAGCGUUGCAUGCAGAAGUGCCUCCUCAAGCAACUCGGCAGAAAUGCGCACAUCUACGUGGAUGUUGUGGUGGUGAAGACGGAAAACGUGGAACUCUGUUGGAAGACCUCAAGGAAACCUUUGAGAACCUGCGCCGAUUCCAGAUCAAGCUCAACCCCAAGAAAUGCGUCUUCGGAGUACCAGCCGGCCAGCUCCUUGGUUUCCUGGUCUCCGAACGCGGCAUAGAGUGCAACCCAGUGAAGAUCAAGGCCAUCGAGAGGAUGGAAGCACCCAGACGACUGUUAGAUGUGCAAAAGUUCACCGGCUGUUUGGCGUCCAUCAGCCGAUUCAUCAGUCGGCUGGGCGAGAAGGCUCUCCCCUUGUAUCAGCUCAUGAAGAAGACAACCUUUUUUGAAUGGACUCCCAAGGCGGACGAGGCCUUUCUCCAACUGAAGAAGGUGUUGACUACUCCCCCUGUGCUGGCGGCUCUGACUCCUAAAGAGCCCAUGCUCCUAUACAUUGCCGCCACCAGCCGGGUAGUCAGCACAGUCAUUGUAGUCGAGCACAAGGAGGAAGGCAAGGCGCUACCUGUCCAGAGACCGUUAUAUUACCUGAGCGAGGUACUGUCGGCCUCCAAGAAGAACUACCCCCACUACCAGAAGAUGUGCUACGGCGUGCAUUUUGCCGCCAAGAAAUUGAAGCCUUACUUCCAGGAGCAUCCAAUCACUGUGGUCUGCACAGCCCCACUAGCCGAGAUCAUCGGAAGCCGAGAUGCUUCUGGCCGAGUGGCCAAAUGGGCCAUCGACCUGGCUCCCUACACCAUCUACUACGAAACCCGCACCGCCAUCAAGUCGCAAGCACUGGCCGACUUCCUCGUCGAUUGGGCCGAGACCCAGUAUCUGCCACCAGCGCCCGACUCCACCCAUUGGCGGAUGCACUUCGAUGGCUCCAAGAUGCACACCGGCCUGGGAGCCGGCGUUGUCCUCACUUCCCCCAAGGGUGACAAGCUCAGAUAUGCGCUCCAGAUCCAUUUCGUCGCCUCCAACAACGUGGCCGAGUACGAGGCGCUCAUCCACGGGCUCCGUCUUGCCGAAGAACUCGGCAUUCGCCAGAUCCUGUGUUAUGGCGACUCUGACUUGGUGGUCCAGCAGUCAUCUGGCGAUUGGGACGCCAACGACGCAAACAUGGCGAGCUACCGCUUCCUUGUACAGCAACUCGGCGGAUACUUCGAGGGGUGCGAGUUCCUCCACGUGCCAAGGAAUGGCAACGACCAAGCAGACGCCUUGGCACGAAUCGGCUCCACCCGCCAAGCAAUACCAUCCGGCAUCGCCCUUUGGCGCCUCCUCAAGCCGUCCAUCAAGCCGUCACCAGAAUCAGACUCAAUCUUUGUGACGGCUCCACCCGAAGAAGUCGAAUCCGACUCCAAGAAAGCCACAGUCAAAGCCGGCCCGGGAACUUCAGAACCCGGUCCGAGGACUGCGGUGACAAGACCAAGGACUCCAGAACUCGGCCCAGGGACUGCUCCAGUCAGCCUGGGGACUUCGUCAAGUCAGCAAGCUGCUGCGGACUCCAACCCGCCGCCUCCCAGCCCAGCCACCCUUGUCCAAGUCGCACUAGUGGCAUUUGAAGAAAUAGCAGCACCCUCAUGGGCCCAGCCCAUCCUAAAGUUCCUAGUAAACAGAGAGCUGCCAAUUGAUGAAAUCUUGGCUCGGCAAGUGCAACACCGAGCAGCAGCUUAUACCGUAGUCAACAGAGAGCUGGUUAGGCAUAGCGUCAUUGGCGUCUACCAACGCUGCGUCGAGGCAGAACAAGGCCAAGCAAUUCUCAGAGACGUCCAUGAAGGCGAGUGCGGCCACCAUGCGGCCUCAAGGGCACUCGUCGCCAAAGCCUUCCGGCACGGUUUCUUCUGGCCAACUGCCCUGGAAGAGGCCAAAGAGUUAGUCCAAAAGUGCAAAGGGUGCCAGAUGUUCCGUUCCAAGCCACUUCAGCUAGCUUCCGCACUCAAGACUAUCCCCAUCGCCUGGCCCUUUGCAGUCUGGAGCCUGGACAUGGUGGGACCAUUCAAGAUGGCACGAGGUGGCUUGACUCAUCUACUUGUCGAAGUGGACAAGUUCACCAAGUGGAUAGAAGUGAAACCCAUCAAGAAGUUGAAUGGUCCGACUGCAGUGACUUUCAUCGCCGACAUCACGACUCGGUACGACAUCCCACACAUCAUCAUCACCGACAAUGGCACAAAUUUUGCCAAAGGCGCCUUGGCCCGUUUCUGCGCGACACAGGGCAUCCGACUGGACUUAGCGUCCGUUGCCCAUCCGCAGUCAAACGGCCAGGUGGAGCGGGCAAAUGGCCUCAUCUUAUCCGGCAUCAAGCCUCGACUGGUCGUGCCGCUAGAGCGAUCGGCCGGCUGCUGGCUUGAGGAACUGCCGGCCGUCCUCUGGAGUCUGCGCACGACUCCAAACAAGUCAACCGGCUUCACACCCUUCUUCCUCGUCUACGGUGCUGAAGCCGUCAUCCCGACGGACAUAGAGUUCGACUCCCCGUGAGUCACAAUGUACACCGAGGAAGAAGCAGAAGAAGCACGUCAAGACGGCGUCGAUCUGCUGGAAGAGGGCCGGCUAUUGGCACUCAGCCGGUCCAGCAUCUACCAGCAGAGUCUGCAUCGAUACUACAACAGGAAGGUCAGGCCAAGAUCUUUCCAAGAGGGCGACCUUGUGCUCCGACUGAUCCAGCGAACAGCCGGCCAGCACAAGCUGUCGGCGCCUUGGGAAGGGCCCUUCAUCAUCAGCAAGGUGCUGGGAAACGACUCCUACUACCUGAUCGAUGCUCAGAAGCCCCGAGCGUGCAAGAGGGACAACUCCGGCAAAGAGACAGAACGCCCGUGGAAUGCAAAUCUUCUCCGAAGAUUUUACAGUUGAUGCAGUAUGUAUCACGCUACCCUUUUGUAUUAAAGUACCAAGACUUUGGGCCUCCCGAGACGAGCUCGGGGACUGCCCUUUUUGUUAUCUGUAUGAUAAGAAUUACGCCUUCGAGUAUAUUACUCUUUGUUAAAUGCCGCUUGGCACCGGGCCCGACUAGUCGGCCCGGGGACUCGCCGCCUCGUGCUAUGAGGAGCUUCCCACAGUCAGACAAGUAGUGUGCGGUGCCUAAUCCGUCUCCUGGCAAAGCCGCAGCUCGCAGAGCGACUGUGUGGUGGGCAAGAGUGAGGAAGAACGGGCGCCCACACGAAAAAUGGCUAAGGACCCAAAGCACAAACAUAGCGUAAGACGGCCUCCAGCAUCUCUGAGGCAAAAAGCCGACUCAUGAGUAGUCGGCUUGCCGCUUUAUACUAGCCUCUAUUAAAGACACCCGACUCUUUAGUAGUCGGCUCACCGCCUUCUAUCCAACUUUUUAAAGAAGACUCUAAGACGGCUGAGUACCUGCCUUCCCAAAGUAGCCAAGCAUUUGAUCCAGCGACAGUCUGCAGAGUGGUUGUCCGACUGACAAGGAAGCGACUAAAGGAAGGCGGCAAAGGGAAAAGCCUAAAGAGCAAUAAGCAAGGAAAGAUAGAACUCGGAUAAAUAUUUACAUAGGCCCUUGGCCGAAUGUUCAAGUAGAAGUUCAAGAUACACCCCGCGGGUGGAACUGUUCGAAUUUAACAAAGUUUUCCAAAAGAUUACUAAGACAAAUAAAGCAAAGGCAAAAACGGCAGCCUAGGAGGCAGCAUCUGGGAUUGGAGGAUCGGAGGAGAUGGCGGUGUCAGGCGCCGGGGCGGCCGGCUGGGCGGUCUCGGUUUGAUUGCCUCCGGCGGCAGUCGCCUCCUCCGGACGCGGCUCGUUGCUGGAGGCGUGGUCAAGCUAAGGCUGGUCGCCCGCUCCGUCUUCUGGCACCUCCGUCUCGCCUCCGUCCUCCGCCUCGCCUUCCUCCUCGGUGCUGGAGUCAAUCACCUCCGCCGAGUCCUCGCCAAAGUCCGGGUUCAUCCUGAACCACUCUGGCGGCACCUCCUCGCCGCCUGCAGCCCGCUCGGGGACGAAGACACUGGUGUCCGUGUAGUCGGCAAUCGCCGCCGCACGCUCGACAAGGGCACCAUCCACUGCCACCAACUCUACCCGGGCCUCUGACCGGAAUGCGGCCAGCCGGUCCAGGUCCAGCCCCCGAAACCACGCCUUGACGAAUUCCAAGGCCCGACACGCUCCGGCCCGGGCCGAGGAACCCUUCCAAGCUUCAAGACGGCCAGUUGCGACCUCUAGCCAGUCGGCGGUCCGACUGGCGGUGCGCAGGGCCGGCAUGUCUGGCCACAUAGCGGCAACCGCCUGGGUGCCGGCACGCUGAAGCCAGCGCAUCAGCCAGUGGGCCGGACGAAGACGGGCCUCGAUGCUCAGAAGCUGCUCAUCGACAGUUUGGGGGGCGUUAGCGGCGAUCUCCGUGCCGCUUGCCCUCCGCAUCUCGCGAUCAGCCUCGAUGGCCUGAGUGACUGCCUGCGAGUGGCCAGGGAAGAAGUCUACCAAGACAAAAAACAAGUGAGUCGAAAAAACCAGAAAUCGACUCGACCUAUAGUCGGAAGCUCGGAGAAAGAAAGGAAGAAAAGAAACUCACCAUCGACGAUGUCCUCGAUCUCAUGAAAGCCGGUGGUCAGCAUUGCCUCCCUGUCAGUCCAGGAGGAGCGCUCGCUCUCGAACUCGGCCAGGAGAGCGGUUUCCUUCUUCUCGGCCUCGUCCUGCGCCUUCUUGAGCAGCUCCUUCUGCUCGGCCAGCUGCGUGGCCAGCAGGUCGCGCUCUGCGGCAAGUUUGCUGCACUCCUGCUCCUUGGCGCGCAAGGUGGUGUUGGCCUCGCCCAGCUGCUGCUGAAGAGCGGCGUUGGCCUCUGAAGAAGAAAAAAGACGAAAGACGAUAAGUCAUCAACAAAGAAAGUCGCUGAGAAGAUCCGGCCCGACUGCUUAGCAGUCAGCCCGAAUCUCGGGGACUACAGCCUGCGGGUGCGCCAGCGCACCCCCGAGAAAAAGAAGAAGGACUCACCCCGGCUCUCCGACAAGUCGGCAGUCCGCCUGCCUAACUCCUCAACAUUGCGAUUGAAGGCGGUAGCGCGGAGGUUGUGAUACUCCUGCAAUAAGCAUUUCAGACAAAGUUAAUAUUUGGAACUCGCCAGAGGGAGUUCCGAACCGCCUGCUCAGCAGCCGGCCCGAAACUUGGGGACUACACCCAGUGGGUGCGCUGACGCGCCCCCAAAGAGAAAAACAAGAAUAAAAAAGAAGAGGGAAACAUACUCGGACGGCCGUUCGCGCUGCCAGAUGCGCCCUGGUGCAAAUUUGAAGGGCGUCGCCUUCAGCUCGCAGCUUCGCCUGGACGUCCAGAAGCGCUUGGUUCAGCGGCCCUGUGUCGCCUCCGCGCAACCACCCAACGGGCGCGGCGCUUGUCGCCUCGGCGUCUGGGAUUGCCGAGCUGGCGGCGCCGGUCUCCCGGGGGCGCGGCGCCGAGGUCACCCUCUCAAGACGGCAGCGCACUGGCGAGGUGACUUAGAGAAGCAGCCUCGCCUCGGACUCAUCCACAGUCGGCGGCACCAGCGGGCCCGCCGGCUGUUUGCCGUGCGCUCUCCCAGACAGCGGCGGAGGCGGCACGAGCGUGUCCGACAUGGAGGCCUCGCCGCUUUCCUUCUCCACGACGGGGUUCUCGGUGCCGGCUUCUCCAGUCUGCCCCGUGAACUCCGGGGGCGGCGGCGUCGAGGACAGUGGGGUGACGAACAACGCCGACUAGCGGCACGCGGCCUCCUCGGCUUGCUGCCUUGCUGCGGCGGCGGCUUCGGCCUCUUCCAGUUUUUUCUGGGCAGAGGCCGCCGCCUUCUCGGCCUUCGCUUUCUCCAAGCGGUUGGCCUCCUCCUCGUAGCGCUUCUCCCGCGCGUUUCGCUCCGUCGCAUUCCGGAGGUCAGCGGCAGGGUCAACCCGCCGAGUGUUGGCUGACGUCUCCGCCGACCCCAUGACGGAGGGGACGGCGACCCUCUCGGGGGUAAGGGGAGCCCUGAAGCAAAAAGGGAAUGAAAAAGGAAACUCAGACGAGAUUCACCAAAGAAAAAUAAAAACGAAGGAGGAAACACUUACGCAGAGACUAGCGGCGGCCUCUUCACUUCCUUGCGGAAGCGGUUGGCCCUCGCGGCCGCCUCCUCCCGUAUGGUCGCGGCGGCCGCCCCCUUGAGCUUCUUCGGCUUGCCGCCGAAUGAACUCGGUCCAGUCUGGCGCCUCUUCAAGCCGCCUUGGCCGGCCAGGCUGGCGGAGGAAGCCGCGACCGAUGGGCCGACCCUUGGCUGGUGGCGCGGGACGACUUCCCCUUCGGCAUCGUCAUCAGGCCAGUCGGUGAAGGUGGCCGAGGGCCUGAGGCCGCCUCCCGCUCCUCCUCCCCCGCCUUCGGCGUCGGCUUCCAUCGCCGCCGCCCCCAAGUCGGGGUCGUCAACGUCGCUCUCCGCUCGGUCGGGGACGAACUCGCGAGGCGGUCUCGUGACGCCGGCUGCGGGCUGCAUGAGGGGGUUCUAAUUCAGAGAAACCAAUGAAAAUCAGAAGUCGGAGUUGGCUAUGAAGAAGAUAAAGAAAUAAAGAGAUGCGACUUACCACUGGAGGGGGGUUGGCGCGCGAGUACGGCUCCUUGCCGAACUGCUAGUCCUCCCCGAGCUCGCAGUUCGCGAUGUGGUUCACCAUGUUUGCCACCUCUGCGCGGGGCAUUUCCCUGGUGCACAUCCGACUAGGGUCCCGGUGGUCGCUCAUCUGACUGAUCAGAUGAGGCCGACCUUGAAGAGGGAGGACUCGGCGCGUCACAAAGGCGGCCAGCAAGUCGGCCCCAAUGAGGCCCUCCGACUGCGUCAGAACUCGGAGCCGCGCCACGGCGGCGGCUCCGGCGGGAGUCAGCGUCUUAGCUCGAUGAGACUAGCUGGGGAGCCUCCCAGCCGGUGCGCCGGCUUCAUAAGGCGGCAGAUUGACCCAAUCCCCGUCGGGGGCAACGCUCUUCACGUAGAAGUAUGACCAUUUCCACAUCUUCACCGACUUGAUUAACGCGAUGGCGGGAAACGGAUUGUCGGCCGUCGACCGCCGCAUCGCGAUGAAGGCGCCGCAUUGAGCUGGCACACCAGCGACGUGCGUGCCGAGCUUGGAUGAGAAGAAUUCUCCCCACAACUCGAUGGUGGGGAGGACGCCGAGGAAGCCUUCGCACAGGGUGGCGAAGGCAGACAACAGCACCACCGUGUUUGGGGUGAGGUGGUACGGCUGGAGCCCGUGGAACUCCAGGAAGGAACGGAAGAAGCCGCUCGCCGGCAGCCCCAGGCCGCGCAUUAGGUGCGAGCAGAAGAUGACCCGCUCACCCUCCUCCGGCGCCGGCAAUAUCCCCCCCCCCUCCGACGCGGCGCAGGCACGCACGAGGUCUGCGCCGGGGAGGCGGCGCGUCCUGCGGAGGAACUCGAUGUGGUCAUCAUCCACCUCCGAGCCGUCCCACACGUCGGAGCGCACGGCGGGGGCCGCGGCGGCGGAGGAAGAGCUCAUCGCAGUUGGUGCAGGGUGUUUCUGCUUGACGGCGGCAAGAGGAAGGAAAGGAGGCAAGAGGAGGUGGGAGAGUAGGGAAGAUGGGCGCGCGUGCUUGCCGCUCCACUCCCCCCCGCCUACUUAUAGCCUUGAGGGCUGAGAAGCCGAUGGUGCGGGUGUGGGAUUAACUGCGCGCAGGACCCCACGCCCCCCACGAUUUACCCCACGAAGUUACUGUGUGCAGUAACGACAUGGGAAAUCCAACCGUCCGCACGGCCACAACGGAUCCGUUUGCAUGCCGAGGCGCGGUAGUGGCGGGCCCCGCCUGACGGCCCGUCCCGUCGCGCAUGUGGGUAGGCAGACUAUCCUUGCCGCGUGGCACCGCGCGACAGGACCGCGGCGGGCGGCCGCGAGGAAGCGUAUCAGGCACGCCGCCUGGUCUCCCCCCACGACUUUCAAACUCUCUACGAAGCAAGACGGCCCUCUGCGAAUCCGACUUUCGGACAGUC